rnacentral:rRNA from 1 species
GUCCAGACUCCUACGGGAGGCAGCAGUGGGGAAUAUUGGGCAAUGGGUGAAAGCCUGACCCAGCAACGCCGCGUGAAGGAAGAAGGCUUUCGGGUUGUAAACUUCUUUUGACAGGGAAGAGCAGAAGACGGUACCUGUCGAAUAAGCCACGGCUAACUACGUGCCAGCAGCCGCGGUAAUACGUAGGGGGCAAGCGUUAUCCGGAUUCACUGGGUGUAAAGGGAGCGUAGACGGCCAUGCAAGCCUGGAGUGAAAGCCCGGGGCCCAACCCCGGGACUGCUCUGGGAACUGUGCGGCUGGAGUGCGGGAGGGGCAGGCGGAAUUCCUAGUGUAGCGGUGAAACGCGUAGAUAUUAGGAGGAACACCAGUGGCGAAGGCGGCCUGCUGGACUGCAACUGACGUUGAGGCUCGAAGGCGUGGGGAGCAAACAGGAUUAGAUACCCGUGUAUG